UUUGCACUCCAGCCGCAGGAGCGAAGAGGAGCCGAGCUAGAUGCACAUGGGCGUGGGGACUUCCGUACACACCAACCCACAAGGUUAGCAGCUGGAGUCCUGUCUGUCCUCAUCACACGGACAUGGCUGACCUGUCUCAGUAGUACCCGGGGGCGAAGCAGGGAGCUGGGCGGUGGAGGCCAACGACUUUACCAAGUUGGCUCUGUCACAACACAGGGACCGAGCCUCCUGAGCCUCAAGAUUUCCGGCUGGUACCCAGGUGGCAGAAGAGCGGAGGGAUUUGGAAAAAGACGCCGCUACCCUGCAAAGCAGCCUUGCAGAUAAGUAUCAUUUCACCAGCCCGCCUGCUCUCUGCUGGUGCGUGUGAGAAAGGUUCAGCUCUGGAACCCGGGACGGGAGGGUGGAUGGGCUCAUCCUGUGACUCUGGCUCUUGAAGAUGCCAUUGGUCAGCUUGAACAGGCUCCUUGGUCUUGCAGACACGGGGGGGGGGGACCUCCUCAGGGUUCCUCCACUCAGGAUCCUCCAGGAUCCUGGGACAGGAGGCUCUAAGAGCAGCUACGAGAUGUAUCGCCUUCCCUGGCUCGGGGUUUGGAGCACAGAUGUAGCAUGACUGUUAGGAAAGAGCCAACCUGAGUCCUGGUGUGACAUGCAGGCACUCCCUUCUCUCUUCCACCACCCCGGUGACUUGCAGUGGUCCACACAAGCCCUGCACCUUUUGGCCACCUGUUUCUUUGUUGUGGGGGUCACAGGAAG
rnacentral:lncRNA from 1 species